AUGAAAUGAUCAAACUAAUUGCUGAAGCCUUUUCAGAAGAGCUUGGUCCAGUUUCAGCAAGUUCUCAGGAAAGGGUGCCUAUGCCUGAAGGAAUAGUGCUUAAUCAAAGUCUGGAUGAUCUGGAUGCCAUAUGUGGUGACCUUGGGUUGCAUAUACCUACUUCUUUCUCCCUUGGAAAAUCAAUUUCCUCUGAGAAGGAUGAUGUUACCAUGUCUGACCGGCAAAGUAAGGAAGAAUAUGAAUCAACUGAAUCAACGUCUCUUCUUGCUGAGCAUCGCAAACGUCACGGGCUAUAUUAUUUACAGUCACAGAAAAAGGAGAUGGCAUAUGAUGAUUACCCACCUGCUAAUGACCUGAAGACUGGAGAGAAUGCUGAUGAUGAGGCUGAUGAUCUGAUUAAGCUGACAGAACAAUCUCUCUUCUCUAAGAAAAAGGCAAACCAAGCAAAGCCUAGGCCUGUAGUAGUGAAACUGGAUGAUGGGGAUGGACCUUUUAUCCCUGCCAAAAAGGUAGAGUCAAAAGAUGACCUAAUCUCUGGUGCUGUGAGAGAUGUUCUUUUAGGUGAUGAAGCAACAACAUCAUCAUCACGGGCUAAG
rnacentral:misc_RNA from 1 species